GAUGUUUUAUUGAACUUGUUCUAACUUAACUUGUCUUAAGACAAAGAAUAGCUUAUAUUAAUUUAGCCAAACAAGAACUUUGUGACGGUACCUUGGUUUUUUUUUUUUUUUCUGUAAU